rnacentral:rRNA from 1 species
UACGAAGGGGGGCUAGCGUUGCUCGGAAUCACUGGGCGUAAAGGGUGCGUAGGCGGGUCUUUAAGUCAGGGGUGAAAUCCUGGAGCUCAACUCCAGAACUGCCUUUGAUACUGAAGAUCUUGAGUUCGGGAGAGGUGAGUGGAACUGCGAGUGUAGAGGUGAAAAUUCGUAGAUAUUCGCAAGAACACCAGUGGCGAAGGCGGCUCACUGGCCCGAUACUGACGCUGAGGCACGAAAGCUAGGGAGCAAACA